GAAGGUGCUGCAUGGUUGUCGUCAGCUCGUGCCGUGAGGUGUCGGCUUAAGUGCCAUAACGAGCGCAACCCUUGUUGUCAGUUACUAACAGGUUCCGCUGAGGACUCUGACAAGACUGCCAUCGUAAGAUGUGAGGAAGGUGGGGAUGACGUCAAAUCAGCACGGCCCUUACGUCCGGGGCUACACACGUGUUACAAUGGGGGGUACAGAGGGCCGCUACCACGCGAGUGGAUGCCAAUCCCAAAAACCUCUCUCAGUUCGGACUGGAGUCUGCAACCCGACUCCACGAAGCUGGAUUCGCUAGUAAUCGCGCAUCAGCCACGGCGCGGUGAAUACGUUCCCGGGCCUUGUACACACCGCCCGUCAAGCCAUGGGAGCCGGGGGUACCUGAAGUGCGUAACCGCGAGGAGCGCCCUAGGGUAAAACUGGCGACUGGGGCUAAGUCGUAACAAGGUAGCCGUACCGGAAGGUGCGGCUGGAUCACCUC
rnacentral:rRNA from 1 species